rnacentral:lncRNA from 10 species
GGGAGGGUUGAAAACCUCUAGGGAGUGUCAGCUAGAGACUUCAGGGCCCACUUGGCCAGAUGAUGGCUCUUGCCAACAAUUGAAGGAGACCUCAUGUUUAAUUCCAGGAGCACCUGACCCAGGGAAGCUUCAGCAUGGGAUACUAGAGACAGGCCAGGGUGAGGCACCAGCCUGAAACUGGGCAUCCCGAAUGAGCAAUGGGCCCAGCAGUCAGUUCCCUGGCCAGGCAGGAGGUGGGGAGUCCCUGCUGAGGGAGGUUGAAUGCCCCCAGAGAAGUGUCCUACAGCUCCUGCCUGCCAGACCCCCAGGCACCCUGCAGAGGGAAAGUUAGUGAUGGCGCUGGCCCCACAGAAGGCUUCCUGUCAACCUUAGUGCUUCAGUGGGAUCAGACCCCUGGGUCACCAGCCAUCUGAGGAAAGCCCCCACACAUGGGAGAAAAGGUCUUAAAGGGAAGAGAAUGUUAAUGUCCUCAGUGAGAUACAAAAGAGCAUUGUCUGCAUGAAAAAGGAACAGGAUACUAGAAAAAGGAUAACAAAGGGAACAGAAUAAGAAAGUUCUUAAAAUUAAAAAAUAGAAAAAAAACUUCAAAAGAAGGCUUAGAUUCUACUAUUGUCUCAAGGAGAUAUUCCAAAAGCAAAAUAGAGAUAGUUUUUUUAUCUUUCCUCUCCUCCUAAUGUAGGAACAAGUCUAGAAGCCCAAUAUAGGAUGAGUAGGAAUUCCAGAAAGAAUAGAAAACUGAAAGGAGGAAAUGAACAUAGAAUGCAAGAUAGUUUCUUGGCACCAGGCAUGGUGGCUCAUGCCUGUAAUCCCAACACUUUGGGAGACCAAGGCAGGCAGAUGACUUGAGCUCACGAGUUUGAGACCAGCCUUGGCAACAUAGGGAGACACCAUCCCCCACUUCCCGUGUCUACAAACACUAUGAAAAUUAGCCAGGCAUGGAGUUGUGUACUUAUGGCCCCAGCUACGUGGGAGGCUGAGGUUGGGGAUGGCUUGAGCCUGGAAGGCAGAGGGUGCAACGAGCCUGGAUUGUACCACUGCACUCCAUCCUGGGAGACAGAAACAGACCUUGUCUCAAACAAAACAAAACAAAACAAAACAAAAAACAAAAAUGCAAGAUAGUUUCUUGGCAAUGAGGCCAUUAUCUUCUAGAUUGAAAGCGGCCCUGACAAUGACUGAGAAAGACCCCACAGCAAAGCUUAUCAUUGUCAAGUGUCAGAACCCUGAGGAUAAAGAAAGAGGGGCUUCUAAAACUCUAGGUUAUUGUAAAUACUUGGGAAUACAAAGAGCAAACAAACAUGAACAGCUAGGAGACAAUGGAACAACUGAUGACUCCAGAAAUCAGUUAAAAAGGCUUUUCGGCCUAGAAUUCUUUUGUUUUUGAAACCGGGUCUCACUGUCAUCUGGGCUGGAGAGCAGUGGUACAGUUGUCUUCAUCUCGUGGGCUCAAGUGAUCCUUCUGCUUCAGCCUCCCCAGUAGCUGGGACUACAGGCAUGUGCCACUGUGCCUAGAUAUUUUUUUUUUUCUUUUUCUUUCCCCACCCCCGAGUCAGAGUCUCGCUGUCGCCCAGGCUGCAGUGAGCCGAGAGAUUGCGGCACUGCGCUCCAGCCUGGGCAACAGAGCGAGACUCUGUCUACAAAACAAAGGAAAAGAGAAGCCAUUAUCAGUGGUAGGAAAACAAAAAGCGAUACAAAGAAAUAGUCUGCUACUUGACCCAGCAAAGAACAUUUAGAUAGAGGUCCUAGCUGAAACAUUGAAUGUUCUUUUUUUUUUUUGAGAUGGAGUCUUGCUCUGUCACCAGGCUGGAGUGCAGUGGCGCCAACUUGGCUCACUGCAACCUCCGCCUCCCAGGUUCAAGCGAUUCUUCUGCCUCGGCCUCCCGAGUAACUGAGACUACAGGCGAUUGCCACCACGCCCAGCUGAUUUUUUGUAUUUUUAGUAGAGACGGGGUUUCACCAUAUUAGCCAGGGUAGUCUCGAUCUCCUGAUCUCGUGAUCCGCCCGCCUCGGCCUCCCAAAGUGCUGGGAUUACAGGCGUGAGCCACUGCGCUCGGCCUACUGAAUGUUCUUUUAACAAAAAAUUGCGUCUUGGAAAGGGUAGUGGAAGGAGAGGCAGGUACUGGUCCAGAGUAGGAAGUGCGCAGAUGUGAACUCCAGCAGCAGGCAAGAGCAGCGUGAGCUGAAAGGGCACAGGGAGAGUUUGGGGAGUGGGAUGGGGGCAGGGAGUGUGCACCACAGCCUUUGGCAACUGGUGACUCUAAGCUGUGGGUGUGGAGACUUUUGACACAUUUAAUUUCAAAAAUAGUGCAGGUGAUUCUCCCCUCUGUCCCUGGUGAGUCACGUGAGCCUGGAGGUGUGCAGGUUCCCUGUGGGGCCAGCGUUGGGCCCUACGCAGCGCCUGCACGGCCCAUCCACCUCCCAGAGCAGAGCUCCGGCGUUGAGGUGUGCGUGUGUGUCGUCGCACAAAGCCUCUGUGUGCAGGUGUCAGGAGGCACAUGGCCUUCCAUCACUGUGGCUGGAAGCGCCUGCCACAUGUGGUAUUGGCUCUCCCUGUACUUAGGGCCUGGCCCCACCUGCCGUGUGGCCCGUGUCCUGCAUGGUUAGGAAAAAGGUCUCUUUCGACUUUCUGGCUCAGAAGCUGACUUUAGAUGCUAGCUGAGGUUAAUGUUUUACUGAAUUGGAGAAAGAGAAAGGUCCAGUAUCAUGGGCCCACCAAGAAUGUUUCCAGAAGCCACAGAGAUUUGUAGCUGGGAUAUGGGGAGAAGCCUCUGACUCAUGGGUUUGUAUCGUCUGGUCCCAUACUGGCUGUGUGAUUGCGGGGUCGAGCUGGGUAGAACCUAGCACCUGCAUCCACACGCUGAGUGCCACCAUCCAGACACUUAGCUGCUUGUGGGGACUGAACGUUGAGAUCUUCGUGAGUCUGUAGUCUCCACAGGCCAAGCUCCUGCUUGCAGGUGCAUCCUUGGGGGAACUUCACGGCUUGCUCUUUCCUCCUCCGCCUCUAGGCAUUGAAGUUGAUAUCGAUGUGGAGCACGGAGGGAAAAGAAGCCGCCUGACCCCCGUCUCUCCAGAGAGUUCCAGCACAGAGGAGAAGAGCAGCUCACAGCCAAGCAGCUGCUGCUCUGACCCCAGCAAGCCGGGUGGGAAUGUUGAGGGCGCCACGCAGUCUCUGGCGGAGCAGAUGAGGAAGAUCGCCUUGGAGUCCGAGGGGCGCCCUGAGGCAAGCCUGUGCCCCUCCCGCCACCUGGGACCACGGCCAGCCUAGUGAUCUGUGGCCUGCACCUCCGCCUCAUCCUCAGCACCUCUGCAGCCCCACUUACAAACCCGAGGGAGCUGCUGCUGCUGCAGUGAUGUCUGUGC